rnacentral:rRNA from 1 species
GAUGAACGCUGGCGGCGUGCCUAAUACAUGCAAGUCGAGCGAACGGACGAUAAGCUUGCUUUUCUGAUGUUAGCGGCGGACGGGUGAGUAACACGUGGAUAACCUACCUAUAAGACUGGGAUAACUUCGGGAAACCGGCUCUAAUACCGGAUAAUAUUCUGAACCGCAUGGAUCAAAAGUGAAAGACGGUCUUGCUGUCACUUAUAGAUGGAUACGCGCUUCCUUAGCUAGUUGGUAAUGUAACGGCGUACCAAGGCAACGAUGGAUAGCCGAUCUGAGAGGGUGAUCGGCCACACUGGAACUGAGACACGGACCAGACUCCUACGAGAGGCAGCAGUCGGAAAUCUUCCGCAAUGGGCGAAAGCCUGACGGAGCAACGCCGCGUGAGUGAUGAAGGUCUUCGGAUCGUAAAACUCUGUUGUUAGGGAAGAACAUAUGUGUAUUUAAAUGGGCAGAUAUUGACGGUACCUAAUGAAAAAGCCCCGGCUAACUACGUG